rnacentral:rRNA from 1 species
GUUCUGGCGCCGGCCCCCUGUCUACGUUCCUUGGAACAGGACAUCACAGAGGGUGAGAAUCCCGUCUGGCGGGGCGGCCUGGCUCCGUGUAGAGCGCCAUCGACGAGUCGAGUUGUUUGGGAAUGCAGCUCUAAGUGGGUGGUAAAUUCCAUCUAAAGCUAAAUAUUGGCGAGAGACCGAUAGCGAACAAGUACAGUGAUGGAAAGAUGAAAAGAACUUUGAAAAGAGAGUGAAAAAGUACGUGAAAUUGUUGAAAGGGAAGGGUAUUGGAUCAGACUUGGUGCUGUGCGAAUAGCGGCUCUUCUUGGGCCGCCCACUCGCACUCCACCGGGCCAGCAUCGGUUUGGGCGGCAAGACAAUGGCGGGGGAACGUGGCACUGCUCUCGGGCAGUGUGUUUAUAGCCCCCGCUGAUGUUGCCUGCCUAGACCGAGGACUGCGGCUUCUGCCUAGGAUGC